rnacentral:rRNA from 1 species
AGUGAACGCUGGCGGUAGGCCUAACACAUGCAAGUCGAACGGCAGCACAGUAAGAGCUUGCUCUUACGGGUGGCGAGUGGCGGACGGGUGAGGAAUACAUCGGAAUCUACUUUUUCGUGGGGGAUAACGUAGGGAAACUUACGCUAAUACCGCAUACGACCUACGGGUGAAAGCAGGGGAUCUUCGGACCUUGCGCGAUUGAAUGAGCCGAUGUCGGAUUAGCUAGUUGGCUGGGUAAAGGCCCACCAAGGCGACGAUCCGUAGCUGGUCUGAGAAGAUGAUCAGCCACACUGGAACUGAGACACGGUCCAGACUCCUACGGGAGGCAGCAGUGGGGAAUAUUGGACAAUGGGCGCAAGCCUGAUCCAGCCAUACCGCGUGGGUGAAGAAGGCCUUCGGGUUGUAAAGCCCUUUUGUUGGGAAAGAAAAGCAGCAGGUUAAUACCCCGCUGUUCUGACGGUACCCAAAGAAUAAGCACCGGCUAACUUCGUG